AGUGAACGCUGGCGGUAGGCCUAACACAUGCAAGUCGAACGGCAGCACAGUAAGAGCUUGCUCUUACGGGUGGCGAGUGGCGGACGGGUGAGGAAUACAUCGGAAUCUACUUUUUCGUGGGGGAUAACGUAGGGAAACUUACGCUAAUACCGCAUACGACCUACGGGUGAAAGCAGUGGAUCUUCGGACCUUGCGCGAUUGAAUGAGCCGAUGUCGGAUUAGCUCGUUGGCGGGGUAAAGGCCCACCAAGGCGACGAUCCGUAGCUGGUCUGAGAGGAUGAUCAGCCACACUGGAACUGAGACACGGUCCAGACUCCUACGGGAGGCAGCAGUGGGGAAUAUUGGACAAUGGGCGCAAGCCUGAUCCAGCCAUACCGCGUGGGUGAAGAAGGCCUUCGGGUUGUAAAGCCCUUUUGUUGGGAAAGAAAAGCAGCAGGUUAAUACCCCGCUGUUCUGACGGUACCCAAAGAAUAAGCACCGGCUAACUUCGUG
rnacentral:rRNA from 1 species